rnacentral:lncRNA from 1 species
UUUGAGAGCUCGAAAAUAGGUGAUUUCAAGUGGGUUUUCGCAAGGAAUUCAUUGGAUUGUGGUGAUUUGGAGCGUGCUCGGAAGGGUAAAACUCAAAUUUGAGUUACUAGUUGAAGUGUUUUGAGGCAAGUGACUUCUAAACUUUGUUAAACUCUUAGACUACACAUGACUACUUUCCUAAUUGUGUUGGGGAGUAAUGGGGAUUGAGGAUGGGUUUUAUUUGUUGAUUGAAAUUGUUGUAAAUGAAAGAUGGGGAAUAAAACGAGCUAAAUGUGUUAUAUGUGACUUGAAUUUGUUGAAUAAGUCAUGUGAUAACUGAUAUUGAGGGGAUAGAAGAGCAUGAGUAGGCUAUGAUUGAUACAGACAUUGAUGUUGAGACAGAUGAUGUGUAAUACUAUGAUGUGGUCGUGAUAUGGUUGUGAUUGAGACAGAUGAUGUGUAAUAGUAUGAUGUGAUCGUGAUAUGAUUGUGAUUGAUGACAUGUGCAUAUUCAUUAUUCAUCCCAUGUGUGAACUAUCUGUUGCAUGAGUUCUGAGACACUGAUAUGAGGAUGGAUGGAUAUGAGACACAGUUGAGACUAGCUCCGGCUAGAGAUAUAUGAGAUGGACUAGCUCCGGCUAGAGAUAUAUGAGAUGGACUAGCUCCGGCUAGAGAUAUAUGAGAUGGACUAGCUCCGGCUAGAGAUAUAUGAGAUGGACUAGCUCCGGCUAGAGAUAUAUGAGAUGGACUAGCUCCGGCUAGAGAUAUAUGAGAUGGACUAGCUCCGGCUAGAGAUAUAUGAGAUGGACUAGCUCCGGCUAGAGAUAUAUGAGAUGGACUAGCUCCGGCUAGAGAUAUAUGAGAUGGACUAGCUCCGGCUAGAGAUAUAUGAGAUGGACUAGCUCCGGCUAGAGAUAUAUGAGAUGGACUAGCUCCGGCUAGAGAUAUAUGAGAUGGACUAGCUCCGGCUAGAGAUAUAUGAGAUGGACUAGCUCCGGCUAGAGAUAUAUGAGAUGGACUAGCUCCGGCUAGAGAUAUAUGAGAUGGACUAGCUCCGGCUAGAGAUAUAUGAGAUGGACUAGCUCCGGCUAGAGAUAUAUGAGAUGGACUAGCUCCGGCUAGAGAUAUAUGAGAUGGACUAGCUCCGGCUAGCGAUUUGGAUGCCGAUGGGAUCUGGUUCCGGCGGUGAUACAUGGUCCAUGUGUGGCCCCCAUGGGUUCUGAUUUGAGUAUUCAGCGCGGUCUGAUUACGUCAACAGAUGUGUAUCUUAGGACAGACAUGCAUCACGACUACAUGACAUCAUUAUUGCAUUUGCAUCGCAUUUGACUUAAUCUUGUCUGUGGUGUGUGGAUUUUACCUACUUGCUCCUCUUCAUGUGAUAUAUGAUCUAUUUUCUCUUAUAUGAGGAUAUGAGGUUGAUGUUGAGAUACUGUUGGAUAUAUCUGUCGAUUAUGAAUUGAGUAGUAUAGGUUGUUGGUUCGCUGUUAGAAUGAAGUUUCGGUGGUUCGGUUGGGAUUGUAAGGAGUUGUUUGUAGCUGCUAGUUUAGCUUAGUUUAGUGUUACUUGCGAGUACCUAUUGCUUUUGGUACUCACCCUUGCUUCUACACAAUUGUGUAGGUUGACAGCUCUAUCAGAUCCGGCUUAUUACUCAUCUUCAUAUUAGAGCUUCCAGACUUACUUGAGAGGUAGCGGUUCAUUCCAGACGUGCCCUCAAGUUAUCUAUAUUUACUGUUCUGUUCUAUUCUAGAACUUUACUAUGAGACUUGUAUAUUUUAUUCAGAUUCUGUAUUAGAGGUUUGUACAUGUGACAACCAAUUCUGGGGUUAUGUUGAGUUUAUUUAAAGACUUCCGCU